UGGGGAAUAUUGCACAAUGGGCGCAAGCCUGAUGCAGCCAUGCCGCGUGUGUGAAGAAGGCCUUCGGGUUGUAAAGCACUUUCAGCGGGGAGGAAGGCGAUAAGGUUAAUAACCUUGUCGAUUGACGUUACCCGCAGAAGAAGCCCCGGCUAACUCCGUGCCAGCAGCCGCGGUAAUACGGAGGGUGCAAGCGUUAAUCGGAAUUACUGGGCGUAAAGCGCACGCAGGCGGUCUGUCAAGUCGGAUGUGAAAUCCCCGGGCUCAACCUGGGAACUGCAUUCGAAACUGGCAGGCUAGAGUCUUGUAGAGGGGGGUAGAAUUCCAGGUGUAGCGGUGAAAUGCGUAGAGAUCUGGAGGAAUACCGGUGGCGAAGGCGGCCCCCUGGACAAAGACUGACGCUCAGGUGCGAAAGCGUGGGGAGCAAACAGG
rnacentral:rRNA from 1 species